UAAGAGUUAGUUUAUUAUAGAAUUGUUGACUGUUAAUCAAAAGGUUUACUCUUAA
rnacentral:tRNA from 1 species